UGUAGGUGCACAGUGCAAGCUGUUGGUGGA
rnacentral:piRNA from 1 species